UUAGAUGUCGCUGUAGAUUUAGCAGCACUGUACUGUAAAAAUCCACAGUACUAUACUGUAUGUGUACAUUACAGUACAGUACUGCAGUUCAUAAUGCAUUCUGGGUAAAUUUGUUUGAGCGGGAAAAUUUUACAGUAUAUUUUGGUCUUGAUGUAACCUUGCUGUAGCCAUUGCUGUAAUGUGCCAGGUGUACUUGCAAUAAUCAGUGAAAGUGCGCCAACGUCAAAUCACACAGACAGAGGGAGAGCACAACUCUUGGCUGCAGCUGAAGGAGGACGAUUGAUUUCUGUCAGUUCGUCUUACCAUUGCUUGUAAGCUGGAUUGGGUAAGAUGGAUCAUCUUUAAAGGCACCAGGAGUUAAGGCAGAUGUGGAGGCACAAUGGGUGACACCAGACACACACCAAGCACAUUAUGUUCGGACAUUCAAUCAUGACAUGAUCCAUGUGGAUGCUGUCCAUUGAGGAAAGAGUUUGUUCAGCGGUUUCUGGAUAGAAUUAAUUCCAAAGAUGGGAAAAAAUGCACAUCCAGACAAGGAGCAAGCAAAAAGACAAGGAACUUGGUGCAGAGAAAAGCUGUGGCCAUUAACCCCCAUGUGAACAGCUUCAUGCAGUCCCUGAUUGAGUUCGAAUGGACGACUUCAAAGUAAAGGCCACUGUGGUCUGUCUGCCAGUUUAAUGCAUUUAUUUUUAGUGUUAAAUGAAAUUCAAGUAGAAUAUUUAAAACUAUGGGCCAGUGUUCUUUUUACCACAGUGAAAUGUUACCUUUUAGUCGAUGAUGGACUUUAAACUGAAAACUUCAAACUAUGGACCAGUGUUCUAUUUGCCAGAGUUAAAUAUGUUACAGCAGGGGUCUCCAAACUUGUUUAUACUUGUUGAUUUUAUUUUAUGUUACUUGAUUAUAUGUUUAUUAUUGUUUAAAAUCUUGUUUUAAAUGUUUUGUUUCAAUUAAAUGUUUUUUUAAAUAAAAUUUUGAUACAAACAUUGCUUGGAUUGCCUUUUAAUUCAUUAUGUCAUGUCAAGGAUAGCAUUUUUACCAUAUUAAUAACUAUAGAUUUAAACCUAAAUCUCUAUCUAUUUUAUAUAAUAUUAUUGUAUUAACUGUAAUAAGUAAUAAAUAGUAUUUAUGGGUCAAUAUAGACAUUACAGUAAAUUACUGUAAAAAUAGACUACUGUAAUAAAAUAUUGUAAAAUUACAGUACAGUACUGCUUUGUAACUAUACAGUACUAGUUUGUGUACUGUAAAAUGGUAUUACAGUACAGUACUGUAAACCCAAAAUACAGUAACUUACUGGCAACCGUGCUGCCAGUACCGUACUGUAA